rnacentral:rRNA from 1 species
GUAAAUAAUUAAGGGCGUAUGGUGGAUGCCUAGGCUCUCAGAGGCGAAGAAGGACGUGAUAAGCUGCGAAAAGCUCCGUUUAGGUGCAAAUAACCUUUGAUGCGGAGAUUUCCGAAUGGGAUAACCCAAUAUGUUGAAGACAUAUUAUACCGUAAGGUAGGCAAACGCAGGGAACUGAAACAUCUAAGUACCUGCAGGAGAAGAAAACAAACGUGAUUCCCCCAGUAGCGGCGAGCGACCGGGGAAAAGCCCAAACCGUUAUUGUUUCGGCAUUAACGGGGUAGUAGGACUGCGACAUUGAUGAAAUAAAUGAAAUGGAACACCUUGGAAAAUGUGAUCACAGAGGGUGAUAAUCCCGUACAUGCAAGUUUAUGAAUCAUAGCAGACUCCUGAGUAAGUCGGGACACGUGUAAUCCUGACCGAAUCCGCCGGGACCAUCCGGCAAGGCUAAAUACUCCUGAGAGACCGAUAGUGAACCAGUACCGUGAGGGAAAGGUGAAAAGCACUUCGAACAGAAGAGUGAAAUAGUUCCUGAAACCGUGCGCCUACAAGCGGUCGGAGCUCGUUAAUGAGUGACGGCGUGCCUUUUGCAUAAUGAACCUACGAGUUGCCUUUGCCGGCAAGGUUAAGUGUGACGACACACGUAUCCGAAGCGAAAGCGAGUCUGAAGAGGGCGUAUAGUCGGCAGUGGCAGACGCGAAACCAAGUGAUCUACCCUUGGCCAGGUUGAAGGCUGGGUAACACCAGCUGGAGGACCGCACCAAUAAGCGUUGAAAAGCUUCUGGAUGAGCUGAGGGUAGGGGUGAAAGGCUAAUCAAACUUGGAGAUAGCUCGUACUCCCCGAAAUGCAUUUAGGUGCAGCCUUGGGAAUUACUACUGUGAGGUAGAGCGACUGAUAAGAUGCGAGGGCUUCACCGCCUAUCAAGUCUUGACAAACUCCGAAUGCGCAUCAGUUCUACCGCAGGAGUGAGGGCAUGGGUGCUAAGGUCCGUGCCCGAGAGGAGAAGAAUCCGGACCACCUGCUAAGGUCCCGAAAUGACAGCUAAGUUAAACUAACGAAGUCUGACUGCUAAGACAGCUAGGAUGUUGGCUUGGAAGCAGCCAUUCAUUUAAAGAGUGCGUAACAGCUCACUAGUCGAGGAGUCGGGCGUGGAUAAUAAUCGGGUAUUAAGUUGUCUACCGAAGCAGUGGGAUCAUUUAUAUGAUCGGUAGGGGAGCAUUCCAGUCAGCGUCGAAGGCGUACCGUGAGGUAUUCUGGAGCGUCUGGAAAAGCAAAUGUAGGUAUAAGUAACGAUAAAGGGGGCGGGAAACCCCCUCGCCGAAAGACUAAGGUUUCCUGAUCAACGCUAAUCGGAUCAGGGUCAGUCGGGUCCUAAGGCUCAGCCGAACGGCGAUGCCGAUGGCAGAAACGGUUAAUAUUCCGUUACUACCUUCAGGAGUGACGUGGAGACGCAGUAGUGACAGUGCCGCCAUCUGACGGAAUAGAUGGUUGAAGGGUGUAGGAGUCGAUCAUGGCAGGCAAAUCCACCAUGAGAUCCGAACCUGAGAGUAUGCCGCGUCCUUCGGGACAAGGCAAUAGUGCGCGUAAGCAUGCUGCCGAGAAAAUCCGCUAAACUUAAUCCUGCAGGUACCCGUACCGCAAACGGACACACGUAGUCGGGUUGAAUAUACUAAGGCGCUUGAGUGAUUCACGGUUAAGGAACUAGGCAAACUGACCCUGUAACUUCGGGAUAAAGGGUCCCUACCCUUUUAUGGGAGGGCGCAGAGAAUCGGUCCAGGCAACUGUUUAACAAAAACACAGGGCUGUGCCAAAUCGAAAGAUCCAGUAUACAGCCUGACACCUGCCCGGUGCUGGAAGGUUAAGAGGAGAUGUCAUCGAUGAGAGAAGCGUUGAAUUGAAGCCCCAGUAAACGGCGGCCGUAACUAUAACGGUCCUAAGGUAGCGAAAUUCCUUGUCGGGUAAGUUCCGACCUGCACGAAUGGUGUAAUGAUCUGGACACUGUCUCAACCGUGAGCUCAGUGAAAUUGUAGUAUCGGUGAAGAUGCCGAUUACCCGCGAUGGGACGAAAAGACCCCGUGAACCUUUACUAUAGCUUAUCAUUGAAUCUGGGCACGUGAUGUGUAGGAUAGGUCGGAGGCUUUGAAGCAGGUACGCCAGUAUUUGUGGAGCCGCUGUUGAAAUACGACCCUUUAUUUGUUUGGAUUCUAACCCGUGGAACGGGGACAUUGAUUGGUGGGUAGUUUGACUGGGGUGGUCGCCUCCAAAAGCGUAACGGAGGCUUCUAAAGGUGCCCUCAGGCCGAUUGGUAACCGGCCGCAGAGUGUAAUGGCAAAAGGGCGCUUGACUGGGAGGCCGACAAGCCGAUCAGGUGGGAAACCAGAGCAUAGUGAUCCGGUGGUUCCGUAUGGAAGGGCCAUCGCUCAAAGGAUAAAAGGUACUCCGGGGAUAACAGGCUGAUC